rnacentral:rRNA from 1 species
GACGAACGCUGGCGGCGUGCCUAAUACAUGCAAGUAGAACGCUGAAGAGAGGAGCUUGCUCUUCUUGGAUGAGUUGCGAACGGGUGAGUAACGCGUAGGUAACCUGCCUUGUAGCGGGGGAUAACUAUUGGAAACGAUAGCUAAUACCGCAUAACAAUGGAUGACCCAUGUCAUUUAUUUGAAAGGGGCAAAUGCUCCACUACAAGAUGGACCUGCGUUGUAUUAGCUAGUAGGUGAGGUAACGGCUCACCUAGGCGACGAUACAUAGCCGACCUGAGAGGGUGAUCGGCCACACUGGGACUGAGACACGGCCCAGACUCCUACGGGAGGCAGCGGUAGGGAAUCUUCGGCAAUGGGGGCAACCCUGACCGAGCAACGCCGCGUGAGUGAAGAAGGGUUUCGGAUCGUAAAGCUCUGUUGUAAGUCAAGAACGAGUGUGAGAGUGGAAAGUUCACACUGUGACGGUAGCUUACCAGAAAGGGACGGCUAACUACGUG